rnacentral:rRNA from 1 species
AAGUAAGUGUUUAAGGGCGC